rnacentral:rRNA from 1 species
AUAUCAAUAAGCGGAGGAAAAGAAACUAACAAGGAUUCCCCUAGUAACUGCGAGUGAAGCGGGAAAAGCUCAAAUUUAAAAUCUGGCGGUCUCCGGCCGUCCGAGUUGUAAUCUAGAGAAGUGUUAUCUGCGCUGGACCGUGUACAAGUCUCCUGGAAUGGAGCAUCAUAGAGGGUGAGAAUCCCGUCUUUGACACGGACUGCCAGGGCUUUGUGAUGCGCUCUCAAAGAGUCGAGUUGUUUGGGAAUGCAGCUCAAAAUGGGUGGUAAAUUCCAUCUAAAGCUAAAUAUUGGCGAGAGACCGAUAGCGAACAAGUACCGUGAGGGAAAGAUGAAAAGAACUUUGGAAAGAGAGUUAAACAGUACGUGAAAUUGCUGAAAGGGAAACGCUUGAAGUCAGUCGCGUUGGCCGGGGAUCAACCUUGCUUUUGCUGGGCGUACUUUCCGGUCGACGGGUCAGCAUCAAUUUUGACCGUUGGAUAAAGUCCAGGGGAAUGUGGCAUCUUCGGAUGUGUUAUAGCCCUUGGUCGCAUACAAUGGUUGGGAUUGAGGAACUCAGCACGCCGCAAGGCCGGGUACUUGUACCACGUUCGUGCUUAGGAUGCUGGCAUAAUGGCUUUAAUCGACCCGUCUUGAAACACGGACCAAGGAGUCUAACAUGCCUGCGAGUGUUUGGGUGGAAAACUCGGACGCGUAAUGAAAGUGAAAGUUGAGAUCCCUGUCGCGGGGAGCAUCGACGCCCGGACCAGACCUUUUGUGACGGAUCCGCGGUAGAGCAUGUAUGUUGGGACCCGAAAGAUGGUGAACUAUGCCUGAAUAGGGUGAAGCCAGAGGAAACUCUGGUGGAGGCUCGUAGCGAUUCUGACGUGCAAAUCGAUCGUCAAAUUUGGGUAUAGGGGCGAAAGACUAAUCGAACCAUCUAGUAGCUGGUUCCUGC